rnacentral:rRNA from 1 species
UCACCCAGGUUGCCGCAAGGCCUCCUGGGUAACCUACCACCCUUUGUUUAUUACACUUUGUUGCUUUGGCAAGCCUGCCCUCGGGCUGCUGGCUCCGGCCGGCGAGCGCUUGCCAGAGGACCUAAACUCUGUUUGUCUAUACUGUCUGAGUACUAUAUAAUAGUUAAAACUUUCAACAACGGAUCUCUUGGUUCUGGCAUCGAUGAAGAACGCAGCGAAAUGCGAUAAGUAAUGUGAAUUGCAGAAUUCAGUGAAUCAUCGAAUCUUUGAACGCACAUUGCGCCCCCUGGUAUUCCGGGGGGCAUGCCUGUCCGAGCGUCAUUACAACCCUCAAGCUCAGCUUGGUAUUGGGCCCCGCCGACCCGGCGGGCCCUAAAGUCAGUGGCGGUGCCGUCCGGCUCCGAGCGUAGUAAUUCUUCUCGCUCUGGAGGUCCGGUCGUGUGCUCGCCAGCAACCCCCAAUUUUUUUCAGGUUGACCUCGGAUCAGGUAGGGAUACCCGCUGAACUUAAGCAUAUCAAUAAGCGGAGGAAAAGAAACCAACAGGGAUUACCUCAGUAACGGCGAGUGAAGCGGUAACAGCUCAAAUUUGAAAUCUGGCCUCACGGUCCGAGUUGUAAUUUGUAGAGGAUGCUUCGAGCAUGGUCUGGCCUAAGUUCCUUGGAACAGGACGUCAUAGAGGGUGAGAAUCCCGUAUGCGGCCAGGUGCCUACGCUCAUGUGAAGCUCCUUCGACGAGUCGAGUUGUUUGGGAAUGCAGCUCAAAAUGGGUGGUAAAUUUCAUCUAAAGCUAAAUAUUGGCCAGAGACCGAUAGCGCACAAGUAGAGUGAUCGAAAGAUGAAAAGCACUUUGGAAAGAGAGUUAAACAGUACGUGAAAUUGUUGAAAGGGAAGCGCUUGCAACCAGACUUGCGCGCGGCCGAUCAUCCGGUGUUCUCACCGGUGCACUCGGCCGUGCUCAGGCCAGCAUCGGUUUUGGCGGCUGGAUAAAGGCCCUAGGAAUGUGGCUCCUCUCGGGGAGUGUUAUAGCCUAGGGUGCAAUGCAGCCUGC